CCUGUCUGUCAGCGAGUACGAGUGCCACGUCUCCAGUGUGUGGGCAGCCCUCUCCAGAGCGUACAGUUUGUAGAACAGCAGCAUGUUGAGCGCCACCAACACCACCAGACUGGACAGAAACACGCAUCUGACGAUGAGGAGGAUCGUGGAGACGCUGUUUUGUGCUGCGCCACGUGCGCGCUCUCCCAGCAUCAUAUACUGAGCACCUACAAAAAAAAAAAAAAAAAAAAAAAAAAACUUAAAUAAAUAAAUAACAGUA